rnacentral:rRNA from 1 species
CAGUAGCCGCGGUAAUACGUAGGGUGCGGGCGUUAAUCGGAAUUACUGGGCGUAAAGCGUGCGCAGGCGGUUCGUUAAGACAGAUGUGAAAUCCCCGGGCUUAACCUGGGAACUGCAUUUGUGACUGGCGAGCUAGAGUAUGGCAGAGGGGGGUAGAACUCCACGUGUAGCAGUGAAAUGCGUAGAGAUGUGGAGGAAUACCGAUGGCGAAGGCAGCCCCCUGGGCCAAUACUGACGCUCAUGCACGAAAGCGUGGGGAGCAAACAGGAUUAGAUACCCCUGUAGUCCUGUCUCUUAUACA